GAAGGUAUAGCUCAGUGGUAGAGAGUGUGCUUAGCAUAUACAAGGUCCUGGGUUCAAUCUCCUGUGCCUCCA
rfam:Camelus ferus unplaced genomic scaffold scaffold1533, whole genome shotgun sequence.